rnacentral:rRNA from 1 species
GACGAACGCUGGCGGCGUGCUUAACACAUGCAAGUCGAACGAUGAAGCCGGAGCUUGCUCUGGUGAAUUAGUGGCGAACGGGUGAGUAACACGUGAGUAACCUGCCCUUGACUCUGGGAUAACUGCGGGAAACUGUAGCUAAUACCGGAUACGACCCUCGGAGGCAUCUCCUGGGGGUGGAAAGAAUUACGGUAAAGGAUGGACUCGCGGCCGAUCAGCUAGUUGGGGAGGUAAAGGCGCACCAAGGCGACGACGGGUAGCCGGCCUGGGAGGGUGACCGGCCACACUGGGACUGAGACACGGCCCAGAUUCCUACGGGAGGCAGCAGUGGGGAAUAUUGCACAAUGGGCGCAAGCCUGAUGCAGCAACGCCGCGUGAGGGAUGACGGCCUUCGGGUUGUAAACCUCUUUUAGCAGGGAAGAAGCGAAAGUGACGGUACCUGCAGAAAAAGCACCGGCUAACUACGUGCCAGCAGCCGCCGUAA